AAAGACGCGAGCUAUUGAACAUCAGGAAAAGCAAAUCAUCACAAGUUUACUGUUUUCUGGUUGACACAAACGCUAUUAUUAUCCAAUUAUUUAUCUAUACAAAAGGAGUUACAUGGCUUAAUAGCAAAUUUACCAAAUUAUACAACAAGGGAAAUGAAAAUGAUUUAAGAAUGGUUCUUAUACGGUAACACAAUAUCAUCAUAUGAUGGUUUCAAGUGCUAAAUUACCCAUCAAUCUAACCAAGGGUGCAGGACAUUUUGUAACAAUAUCAAACCUAGACGAAUUUGAGGCAUUACCAAAUAAAGAUAAGCUCAACAAGGCAAGCUCCCCUAAAGACAACUUUGAGGAGAGGAAUCCUUGCCAAUAAUAAGGUUCCAAUUCAAAGAAAGCAUCAAAGAAACUCCUGCUUCCUUUCAAGUCAAGUUUCAAAAGGGUCUCCAUCCCAAAUGAGUAAAAUUCUCUCUCACACUUCUUGUCCAAUGGCCACAAUCCAUUCCACACUUUAUGAUAAAGUGGCCUUCCUCUUAUCAUUCUGGUUGAGCCAAGGCACUCUGCAAUGGCAUCAGCCACAAUUGGGGCUAUGGCCAUUGUUCGAGCCACCAUGUACCCAGUUGAAGGGUGGACUACCCCUGAAGUACCACCGAUAGCCAUCACACUUUGAGGGACUAGAGGAAGAGGUCCUCCCAUAGGAAUCAAACAUUUCUCAUCCUCUAUUACCGUCUUCACUCUGAUUCCUAAAUGUCUCAACCUCGCUACCAUCCUUGUCUUCACCUCCAUGUAGGAUAACACAGGCCGACUCACCAGAGAUGUCUCUUCUAAAAAUAUCAAAUUGGAAUCAAAUGGCAUGGCAUACAAGAAGGUUGGAAAUCUUGAAUUGCUAGCACGCAAGUAAGGCUCAUUUCCCAUAUGGGAAUCUCUCCAAUCCAUAAGAAUCAUCUUAUCCAAGUCAAAUGGGUGACAAUCCACUUCUGCUAAUAUGCCAUGAGCAAUCUGAUACCCAUGGUUUCUUGGCUUAUCAUACUCGAUAAAAGUACUAGCAAAACCACUUGCAUCCACAACUAAGCUUGCUUUAAGAUCAUUCCCAUCAUCACAAAUAACUGAAGACUCAAACUCUUCAUGCUCUACUUUCCAAACCUUAGCCUUAUGAAAUUUAACACCAUUUGAGACGCACUUCUCCAUUAAUUUUGUCUGCAACUUCUUCCUACUAACGCGACCAUAGGGACGGUCUAAGUACUUGGUCUUGUGAUCAUCUAUGAAGACACAAGUCAUAGGCCAUGUUUUGUCCAGACAAUCUAUAAGACCCAAGCUUUCAAACUCAUCAACCCAGACACCGUAAUUAUUAGGCCACAACGAAAGUGGUGAAGGAUCAACACAGCAUACCUUAAUUCCAUAGAGGGAUACUUGCUCAGCGAGGCGCAGGCCAGCCGGUCCAGUACCAAUAAUGAUGACAUCAAAGCGGGAUCUAGCAGCCGGAUCAAACCACGAGAGAUCAAAAUCUAAGAAGUCUGGUUUUGAUUCGGGUUUCAAGUCAAGAAAGCUUCCAGACUUGCUGCUGUGGAUUCUGCAGUUGGAGUUUCUUGAAGGUGUGAUAGUGGGUCUUGGAGAAGAGAAAACAGGGACGGGGUUUGUUAUAUGGCUUAUUUGAGAAGCUUUAGUUGGAGGAGGAGGUGAAAAUAGCCUGAGAAGAGUCCCCAUUAAAGAGAAAGAUGAGAAGGUCUGAGCAGUGUCGAAUGGAAGUGAAAAUUUUGGGUUUAAACAAAAAAAAUGAGGUGGGAGAUAUGGACAGGGUGGAAUCACAGAGUGGAGCUAAGAAAGGAUGCUCCCCAGCCGAAUUUGGCCAAAGUUAAAAUAUAAAAAAUAAAUAAAUAAAAGGAAGGACACCCACUGCAUUAAUUUUAUAAUGGACAACACAAGUCAGCUUGCAACCGCAAUCUCCAACAGUAAAAGAAGAAGAAAGUGUUAAACGUGUCCUGCUAAUAGUUAUCGGAAGAAGGCACUGUCGUGAAAUUCCGCAUUGGAGAAUUUGUGAGUUUGUGAUCCAAAUGAACCAUCUGCCGAAAGUGGUCGUGAGGCGUGACAGGGGCUGUGCCUGUCCCCCACCAUCACCAGUGCCCAAUCUACAGAAUUUGCUUACUUGCCGUUUCAAAGAAGUGGCUUCAUGCAGUGUAAGUUGUGAAUAUUUCAAUCGUGAGUUGGGCAGCAUUUUGCUCUUCAUUUCAUUAUCUGUUUUUAAGCCGUUACACUUGCUCAAUUUAGUUAAGGCAGCCACGUGCAAACCUAUGCAAGAAGAAUCUGACCACGACACUUAGCCAACUCAUUUGUCGCCUCUUAUCUUUCUAUUGACGAUACAUAUCAUGCAAGAGCUGUUUCUAUAGUACUACCUAAAUAUUGAGUCUUCACAAUACCAUAUUGUAAU
rnacentral:misc_RNA from 1 species